rnacentral:rRNA from 1 species
UACGUAGGGUGCGAGCGUUAUCGGAAUUACUGGGCGUAAAGUGUGCGCAGGUGGCCGCGCAAGUCGAGUGUGAAAUCCCCGAGCUUAACUUGGGAAUUGCGCUCGAAACUACGUGGCUCGAGUGUGGCAGAGGAAGGUGGAAUUCCACGUGUAGCGGUGAAAUGCGUAGAGAUGUGGAGGAACACCGAUGGCGAAGGCAGCCUUCUGGGCCAACACUGACGCUCAUGCACGAAAGCGUGGGGAGCAAACAGG